GUGGGUAACCUGCCUGUAAGACUGGGAUAACUCCGGGAAACCGGAGCUAAUACCGGAUAGUUCCUUGAACCGCAGGUUCAAGGAUGAAAGACGGUUUCGGCUGUCACUUACAGAUGGACCCGCGGCGCAUUAGCUAGUUGGUGGGGUAAUGGCUCACCAAGGCGACGAUGCGUAGCCGACCUGAGAGGGUGAUCGGCCACACUGGGACUGAGACACGGCCCAGACUCCUACGGGAGGCAGCAGUAGGGAAUCUUCCGCAAUGGACGAAAGUCUGACGGAGCAACGCCGCGUGAGUGAUGAAGGUUUUCGGAUCGUAAAGCUCUGUUGUUAGGGAAGAACAAGUGCGAGAGUAACUGCUCGCACCUUGACGGUACCUAACCAGAAAGCCACGGCUAACUACGUGCCAGCAGCCGCGGUAAUACGUAGGUGGCAAGCGUUGUC
rnacentral:rRNA from 2 species